AUGCUAAUAGAUAAGGAGGUAUCUAAACGGAUUGUGUUUCCAAGCUUAAGCACAUCUACCACGGGCUCCAGUUGCAAGAUAGCACAGAUUGAACUGGUGGCCAAUUGGCUAAUUCUAAUCCUGGAGUCACUGGAGCUUAGAUCUCAUGUUUCCACCUGCGGGAAGCAUGAGUCCAAGUCAAGGAGCAGCUUGUGUUGUGUGGAGCAGGAGCGGGAGACUUAGGCCCCAAGCUUCUGGGGCAACCUGGUGCACAUGAAGUAAGAGGUUGAGCAGGGGAGAAAGCGAGAUGCCCUGGUGCUGGUGAAGUGGGAGCACGAGGUGAACAAGGGCUCAGAGCCUGAGUGGCAGGUGCAAGCAAAGAAUAGUCUUAUGGAUUCUGAGGGCUGGAGGAGCCACCACGGCCCAUACCUGGAUAUUAGUAACAGGAGUGUGCUGGGUUUUGACUUUGAGAAGCUGUGUUCUAUCUCACUCUCUCAUAUCAACUCAUAUGCCCAUCUGGUAUGUGGCAAAUACUUUCAAGGCCAGGGCUUAAAGUCUCAAACCUACAUUCACAGUGUACAGUUUAACCACCAUGUCUUCCUCAACCUCCAUACUCUCAAGUUUUACUGCCUUCCAGACAACUACAAGAUCAUUGAUUCCUCACUGGAGGAUAUCAUGUAUGUUGAAGCCUACUUUCACAAAGCAGCAGAUUGCAAACUUGGACAAGCAGGCCAAAUUGUCCCGGGCAUAUGAUGGUACCAGUUACCACUGGGUAUUGUGGGACUGAAUAACAUAAAGGCCAACUAUUACGCCAAUGCUGUCUUUCUGGCUCUGUCUAAUGUUCCUCCUCUCUGGAACUACUUCCUGGAAGAAGAUAAUUAUGAGAACAUCAAGCACCUCCCAGGGAACAUCAUGUUCCUGCUGCAGAGCUCAUGAGAAAGCUGGGGAACACUCGGAAUUUCAAGGCACAUGUCUCUCCCUAUGAGAUGCUUCAGGCUGUUGUUCUUUGCAGCAAAAAGACUUUUCAGAUCACCAAACAAAGGGAUGGCAUUAACUUUCUGUUUUGGUUUCUGAAUGCCCUGCACUCUGCUGUGUGUGUAUGGGGGGGGGCACAAAGAAGAAAAAGAACACAAUUGUGACAGAUGUUUUUCAGGGGUCCACGAGGAUCUUCACUUAAAAGCUUCCCCAUCCUGAUUUGCCAGCAGAGGAAAAAGAGCAGCUGUUUCAUAAUGAUGAGUAACAGAAGACAAUGGUGGAGGCCAAGUUUAUGUACCUGACGCUGGACCUCCCAACUGCCCCACUCUACAAAGACAAGAAGGAGCAGCUCAUCAUCCCCCAAGUGCUGCUCUUCAAUAUCCUGGCCAAGUUCAACGGCAUCAGGGAGAAGGAGUAUAAGACGUUCAAGGAGAACUUUCUAAUGUAAUUCCAGCUCACUAAACUGCCACCAUAUCUAAUCUUUUGUAUCAAGAGAUUCACUAAGAACAACUUUGUGGAGAAGAAUCCAACUAUUGUCAACUUCCCUAUUACAAAUGUGGAUCUGAGAGAAUACUUAUCUGAAGAAGUACAAGCAGUCCACAAGAACACUACCUAUGACCUCAUUGCCAAGGUUGUGCAUGACAGCAAGCCUUCUGAAGGCUCCUACUGCAUCCAUAUGCUCCAUCACAGGACUGGAAAAUGGUAUGAAUUACAAGAUCUCCAGGUGAUGGACAUCCUGCCCCAGAUGAUCAUGCUGUCAGAGGCUUACAUUCAGAUUUGGGAAAAGAGAGAUAAUGAUGAAGUCAACAAGUAGGGGGCCUGA